AGAGUUUGAUCCUGGCUCAGAACGUACGCUGGCGGCACGCCUAACACAUGCAAGUCGAACGAAGUAGCAAUACUUAGUGGCAGACGGGUGAGUAACAUGUAGGUAUCUGCCCUUUGGCCUGGAAUAACACGAGGAAACUUGUGCUAAUACCGGAUAAGUCUUUACGGAGAAAGCUUUAUGCACCAUUGGAUGAGCCUGCACUUGAUUGGUUUGUUGGUGGGGUAAUGGCCUACCAAGACUAUGAUCAAUAGCUGAUUUGAGAGGAUGAUCAGCCACAUUGGGACUGAGACACGGCCCAAACUCCUACGGGAGGCAGCAGUGGGGAAUCUUGCACAAUGGAGGAAACUCUGAUGCAGCGAUGCCGCGUGAGUGAAGAAGGCCCUUGGGUUGUAAAGCUCUUUCGUCGGGGAAGAAAAUGACUGUACCCGAAUAAGAAGGUCCGGCUAACUUCGUGCCAGCAGCCGCGGUAAUACGAAGGGACCUAGCGUAGUUCGGAAUUACUGGGCUUAAAGAGUUCGUAGGUGGUUGAAAAAGUUGGUGGUGAAAUCCCAGAGCUUAACUCUGGAACUGCCAUCAAAACUUUUCAGCUAGAGUAUGAUAGAGGAAAGCAGAAUUUCUAGUGUAGAGGUGAAAUUCGUAGAUAUUAGAAAGAAUACCAAUUGCGAAGGCAGCUUUCUGGAUCAUUACUGACACUGAGGAACGAAAGCAUGGGUAGCGAAGAGGAUUAGAUACCCUCGUAGUCCAUGCCGUAAACGAUGUGUGUUAGACGUUGGAAAUUUAUUUUCAGUGUCGCAGCGAAAGCGAUAAACACACCGCCUGGGGAGUACGACCGCAAGGUUAAAACUCAAAUGAAUUGACGGGGACCCGCACAAGUAGUGGAGCAUGUGGUUUAAUUCGAAGAUACGCGCAGAACCUUACCAACACUUGACAUGUUCGUCGCGACUUUAAGAGAUUAAAGUUUUCGGUUCGGCCGGACGAAACACAGGUGCUGCAUGGCUGUCGUCAGCUCGUGUCGUGAGAUGUUGGGUUAAGUCCCGCAACGAGCGCAACCCUCACUUUUAGUUGCCAUCAUUAAGUUGGGCACUCUGAAAGAACUGCCAGUGAUAAGCUGGAGGAAGGUGGGGAUGACGUCAAGUCCUCAUGGCCCUUACGUGUUGGGCUACACACGUGCUACAAUGGUAUCUACAACAGGAAGCAAGACGGCGACGUUAAGCAAAUCCUUAAAAGAUACCUCAGUUCGGAUUGCACUCUGCAACUCGAGUGCAUGAAGCUGGAAUUACUAGUAAUCGUGGAUCAGCGUGCCACGGUGAAUGCGUUCCCGGGUCUUGUACACACCGCCCGUCACACCAUGGGGGUUGGUUCUACCUUAAGGCAAGGUUUCAUACCCUUGACCACGGUAUAGUCAGCGACUGGGGUGAAGUCGUAACAAGGUAACC
rnacentral:rRNA from 1 species